GUACUUGCUUUGGGAGCACAUAUACUAAAAUUGGAAUGAUACACAGAAGAUUAGCAUGGCUCAAAGAUGACACACAAAUACAUAACUCCCAUCAGGUAUCA
rnacentral:snRNA from 1 species